CCUACGGGAGGCAGCAGUGAGGAAUAUUGGUCAAUGGACGAGAGUCUGAACCAGCCAAGUAGCGUGAAGGAUGACUGCCCUAUGGGUUGUAAACUUCUUUUAUAUGGGCAUAAACUGUUCCACGUGUGGGAUUUUGUAUGUACCAUAUGAAUAAGGAUCGGCUAACUCCGUGCCAGCAGCCGCGGUAAUACGGAGGAUCCGAGCGUUAUCCGGUUUUAUUGGGUUUAAAGGGUGCGCAGGCGGAUUUUUAAGUCAGCGGUAAAAUCGUGGGGCUCAACCCCAUCCAGCCGUUGAAACUGGGGAUCUAGAGUGUGCGGGAGGUAUGCGGAAUGCGUGGUGUAGCGGUGAAAUGCAUAGAUAUCACGAAGAACCCCGAUUGCGAAGGCAGCUUACUAAACUGUGACUGACAUUGAUGCUCGAAAGUGUGGGUAUCAAACAGGAUUAGAUACCCUGGUAGUC
rnacentral:rRNA from 1 species